GCAUGGGGCUGCACUAAUGGCGGGCCCUUCUCUGUGGGCCUUUCACAAUGGACCCAUGCCAGAGAAGUGGGCAGCCCCGAACCAUUGCCCAACCUCCUCACUGGUGGGCUGUGAGCACUGAAGAGGGCUGUUGAGUG
ensembl:snoRNA small nucleolar RNA SNORA42/SNORA80 family